AGGGAUGUCCAUAUUCCGGUGCCUUGGCAUCCAAUUCGAGGCCUCGAUCAAGUACCAUGUCUGGCUCGGUUCUGCAAUGAUAUUCUUCGCCACUUUACACGGUGGAGGCACCCUCUUCAUCUGGGGAAUCAAGCAUAGAAUCCAAGACGAGGUAACCAACAAUCACAAACAUUGUUCAAAGCUCAAACUCUUCAUACAUUGCAUACAACAGUUGACAGCAAUAAGUCGACGAAUUUACAGAUGUGGGAGUGGCAGAAGAAAGGUCGUAUAUACCUCGCAGGAGAGAUAGCUCUAGCAACAGCUUUUGUGAUGGCGAUCACAGCACUUCCACAGAUUAGGAGGAAAUGGUUUCAAAUUUUUU
rnacentral:lncRNA from 1 species